rnacentral:tRNA from 1 species
AAGAUACUAGUAAAGCUCCAUUACACUGUCUUGUCAAGACAGAAUCGUGGGUUAAAGCCCCGCGUAUCUUG